rnacentral:rRNA from 1 species
CCUACGGGUGGCAGCAGUGAGGAAUAUUGGUCAAUGGACGCAAGUCUGAACCAGCCAGGCCGCGUGCAGGAAGACGGCCCUAUGAGUUGUAAACUGCUUUUGUACGAGGGUAAAUCCCGAUACGUGUAUCGUGUUGAAAGUAUCGUACGAAUAAGGAUCGGCUAACUCCGUGCCAGCAGCCGCGGUAAUACGGAGGAUUCAAGCGUUAGCCGGAUUUAUUGGGUUUAAAGGGUGCGUAGGCGGUUCGAUAAGUUAGAUGUGAAAGUCCGGGGCUCAACGCCGGCACUGCCGCUGAUACUGGCGGGCUUGAGUAUAGUUGCGGUAGGCGGAAUGUAUGGUGUAGCGGUGAAAUGCAUAGAGAUCAUACAGAACACCGAUUGCGAAGGCAGCUUACCAAACUACGACUGACAUUGAGGCACGAAAGCGUGGGGAGCAAACAGGAUUAGAUACCCGAGUAGUC